UUUAAAUAUAGGGGAUGUUAUGCCGAAAGUUUAGUAGGAUUUGUUAUUAGUUUUGGGUUAAUGAUUUUUUUUCAUCUCUUUGCAGUGAAGAAAAACACCCAGGGACCUUGUCGGCAAUUGAAGACGGCGAAUGUUACCCGGGUGACCAACGGUCGUAUCCCAAUCAGAUAUGAUGAGUGACAUCGAGUAGCACCAACCGUGAAGUAGCAUAGUGCAUAGGCCCACGACAUUGGGCAUGUCGUGCUGACCUUUUGCCCUAUGCGGUGGAAGUCUUGGAAGGCGAUGUCAGAGGAGACGAAGAACACGGUGUGCAACCAAUUGUCCACAAACUACAAUUUGGAGGACAUGGACGAGGACAUGUUCAUGUACCUCAAUCGGCUCUUCUCUGAACGCUACAAGUAGUGGAAGAGUGACCUGCACCAAUGUUUCUAGCAAUUUGAUGAUCCGCAUGUCGCUCUUAAGGAGGGUUAUCCGAAGGAGUUGGAGGAUUGACAAGAUAGUUGGGUUUGGCUUUACGGUCAUUUUUAGAAGCCGGGCUAUGUGAAGAAGGUGAAGGCGAGCAAGAUCAAUCGAGAGAAGAGGACUCUUCUCCACCAUUCGGGUUCA